UCUUGACCUCAAAUCAGGUAGAA
rnacentral:rRNA from 1 species